AGCAGCCGCGGUAAUUCCAGCUCCAAUAGCGUAUAUUAAAGUUGUUGCAGUUAAAAAGCUCGUAGUUGAAUUUCGGGAUCAAUACGUCGGUCGUGCUUAGGUACGUACUGGCGUAAUUGAUUUCUCCCUUCUGACGAACCAUGAUGUCAUUAACUUGGUGUCAUGGGAAAUCAGGACUGUUACUUUGAAAAAAUUAGAGUGUUUAAAGCAGGCUCACGCUUGAAUACAUUAGCAUGGAAUAAUGAAAUAGGACGUUCGAUCCUAUUUUGUUGGUUUUAGGAUCAACGUAAUGAUUAAUAGGGAUAGUUGGGGGCAUUAGUAUUCAAUUGUCAGAGGUGAAAUUCUUGGAUUUAUUGAAGACUAACUACUGCGAAAGCAUUUGCCAAAGAUGUUUUCAUUAAUCAAGAACGAAAGUUAGGGGGAUCGAAGACGAUCAGAUACCGUCGUAGUCUUAACCAUAAACUAUGCCGACUAGGGAUCGGAUGAUGUUAAUUUUUUAAUGACUCAUUCGGCGCCUUACG
rnacentral:rRNA from 1 species